rnacentral:rRNA from 1 species
AGCGAACGCUGGCGGCAGGCCUAACACAUGCAAGUCGAACGAAGUCUUCGGACUUAGUGGCGGACGGGUGAGUAACACGUGGGAACGUGCCUUUAGGUUCGGAAUAACUCAGGGAAACUUGUGCUAAUACCGAAUGUGCCCUUCGGGGGAAAGAUUUAUCGCCUUUAGAGCGGCCCGCGUCGGAUUAGCUAGUUGGUGAGGUAAAGGCUCACCAAGGCGACGAUCAGUAGCUGGUCUGAGAGGAUGAUCAGCCACAUUGGGACUGAGACACGGCCCAAACUCCUACGGGAGGCAGCAGUGGGCAAUCUUGCGCAAUGGGCGAAAGCCUGACGCAGCCAUGCCGCGUGAAUGAUGAAGGUCUUAGGAUUGUAAAAUUCUUUCACCGGGGACGAUAAUGACGGUACCCGGAGAAGAAGCCCCGGCUAACUUCGUGCCAGCCGCCGCCGUAAUAC